UACGAAGGGGGCUAGCGUUGCUCGGAAUCACUGGGCGUAAAGCGCACGUAGGCGGAUUGUUAAGUCAGGGGUGAAAUCCUGGAGCUCAACUCCAGAACUGCCUUUGAUACUGGCGAUCUCGAGUCCGGGAGAGGUGAGUGGAACUGCGAGUGUAGAGGUGAAAUUCGUAGAUAUUCGCAAGAGCACCAGUGGCGAAGGCGGCUCACUGGCCCGGUACUGACGCUGAGGUGCGAAAGCGUGGGGAGCAAACAGG
rnacentral:rRNA from 1 species